AUUACUCCUACGGGAGGCAGCAGUAGGGAAUCUUCCGCAAUGGACGAAAGUCUGACGGAGCAACGCCGCGUGAGUGAUGAAGGUUUUCGGAUCGUAAAACUCUGUUGUUAGGGAAGAACAAGUACCGUUCGAAUAGGGCGGUACCUUGACGGUAUCUAACCAGAAAGCCACGGCUAACUACGUGCCAGCAGCCGCGGUAAUAA
rnacentral:rRNA from 1 species